CGUUCGAGCGUCAUUACACCACUCAAGCCUGGCUUGGUAUUGGGCGACGGGGUCCCCUCGCGCCUCCAAAUGAUCGGCUGGACGGUUCGAAUCUCAGCGUUGUGGUUUCAUCAAAUCGCUGGCGAGGAUGACCGGACGUGCCGUUAAACCCCUCAUCAAAGGUUGACCUCGGAUCGGGUAGGGAUACCCGCUGAACUUAA
rnacentral:misc_RNA from 1 species